rnacentral:rRNA from 1 species
AUACGAAGGGUGCAAGCGUUACUCGGAAUUACUGGGCGUAAAGCGUGCGUAGGUGGUUCGUUAAGUCUGAUGUGAAAGCCCUGGGCUCAACCUGGGAAUUGCACUGGAUACUGGCGGGCUAGAGUGCGGGAGAGGAUGGCGGAAUUCCUGGUGUAGCAGUGAAAUGCGUAGAUAUCAGGAGGAACAUCCGUGGCGAAGGCGGCCAUCUGGACCAGCACUGACACUGAGGCACGAAAGCGUGGGGAGC